GAAGAACGCGAAGGAGAAAGAAGAGAAAGAAGAAAAGAAGAAAGAAAAGAUUUAGCCGUUCGAUUUCGAUUCCGAUUUCGGUGUACGUUGGAGGAUAUUUGGGUGAAGUUAUAAAAAUCCAGAAAGUAUCGGUAGGAGGUACGCAUGGCACCUCCGGGACAGGGGACGUCUCGGGAGAUAGAAAGACGGGCUGAAUGAGUGAACUGCAUCUGAUGUAUUAUAUGUAAAUUCUAACUAGAAAAACCUCCCGUUUUGGGAGUAUGUUUUUGUAAAUAUUUAUAAACUUGUUUUUUGGAAAUAAUAAAAUGCUUAUAUAAUUAAUUUUAGCCUUAACACUGUGUUGUGGGGCCCGAAGUAGGAGGUGACGACCUCAUGAUGCAGUGUGGCGGUAGCAUUUCCAGUAUGAGCCAACUGGGGGUGUUACAAGUUGGUAUCAGAGCCUAGGUUUGAUAGAUUUUGGCUCUUUGAA